GACGAACGCUGGCGGCGUGCCUAAUACAUGCAAGUUGAGCGCUGAAGGUUGGUACUUGUACCGACUGGAUGAGCAGCGAACGGGUGAGUAACGCGUGGGGAAUCUGCCUUUGAGCGGGGGACAACAUUUGGAAACGAAUGCUAAUACCGCAUAAAAACUUUAAACACAAGUUUUAAGUUUGAAAGAUGCAAUUGCAUCACUCAAAGAUGAUCCCGCGUUGUAUUAGCUAGUUGGUGAGGUAAAGGCUCACCAAGGCGAUGAUACAUAGCCGACCUGAGAGGGUGAUCGGCCACAUUGGGAAUGAGACACGGCCCAAACUCCUACGGGAGGCAGCCGUAGGGAAUCUUCGGCAAUGGACGAAAGUCUGACCGAGCAACGCCGCGUGAGUGAAGAAGGUUUUCGGAUCGUAAAACUCUGUUGGUAGAGAAGAACGUUGGUGAGAGUGGAAAGCUCAUCAAGUGACGGUAACUACCCAGAAAGGGACGGCUAACUACGUG
rnacentral:rRNA from 1 species